CCUACGGGUGGCAGCAGUGGGGAAUAUUGCACAAUGGGGGAAACCCUGAUGCAGCGACGCCGCGUGAGUGAAGAAGUAAUUCGUUACGUAAAGCUCUAUCAGUAGGGAAGCAAAUGAAGGUACCUGAGUAAGAAGCCGAGGCUAACUCUGUGACAGCAGCCGCGGUACUACGAAGGGUGCAAGCGUGAUCCGGAUUUACUGGGGUUAAAGGGAGCGUAGUCGGUUCGCUAAGUGUGGAGUGAAAUGCCGCAGCUUAACUGCGGAACGGCUGUGGAAACUGGCGAACUAGAGUGCGGGAGGGGUAAGCGGAAUUCCCGGUGUAGCAGUGAAAUGCGUAGAUAUUAGGAGGAACACCGGUGGCGAAGGCGGGUUACUGGACCUUAACUGACGUUGAGGCACGAAGGCGUGGGGAGCGAACAGGAUUAGAUACCCUAGUAGUC
rnacentral:rRNA from 1 species